rnacentral:sRNA from 1 species
GAAAUGUUGUGGAGUUUAGUGUGUACUAAUAUGUCUUGUAGGUUUUGGUCUCGCCUGAAUACUACAAGAGGUGGGGAUGAAAAGACGUCGCGAGUAUGUUCAUCGGCUUGGAGAAUGUUCAGGUUUUUGAGAAAGAUGUUUUUUGCUUUCACAUUGUGAGGGUGGUAGGUUAAUAUCAAUUUGGGCCUCUCAUCAUUGCUAGAUAUCGUUUUUUUCUUGAAAGCUUGUUCUCUUUUAAGA